AGCCUUUAUGUGUUGCCCAUUCAUUUCCUUUCCAAAGUGAAUGCGGUGUCAAAUAAGGCUUACAUCAACUCUUGUUGUAAUCUUAAUUGGAAAUAAAAGUACUUCCAUUCAGUAAGCUCUGCAAUAAGAACAUCC